rnacentral:lncRNA from 1 species
CCAUAUGAAAUCUCAAAACUUGAAUCCCAAAUCUUUAACAUUUUUCAAGAAAAACAUGCCAUGCCAUAAAUCAAAAUAUAAAUCAGGUGAAAUAAGGAAUCAAUCGGAGACCCUGCAGUUGGUCCUAUACGAUUAAUUCAAUAGCUCAAUAUCUCACUAAGCCGGAGUCACCACAGUGACCUAUACGGCCCUACUCUGCACAUCACUCGGAACUACGUAAGGUAGUCUGUACGAUGAAAGGUGUAAAAAUACGCUCUAGUGCUUCUCUCAUCAUAUCAUCAGCGCGCAUAACUAAGGUCACCCACUAGUCGGAAUCACGCCUAGUGAUCUGUACGACUAGCAUGUCGGAACCCUCACAUGGUCUGUACGACAUCCACCUACUUGGAUCCAAGGCGAGCGUGCGGUGUGGUGAAUAAAAUAAGCACUAACACCUAGGGUGCAGAUUAUGAGCUCAAAUUAUAUCAACAUCAACCAAUUCAAUGCAUAAAUGAACUCACCUGACUUACCUUUGCCUCCACAGCACCAUGCAAUAUGUAUGCAUCAUAUAUCAAUCAUAUAAUUCAUAAACCAAUCCAUGAUUUUCAAAUAAUUCUAUGCAUGGCAUGUUCAAAACAUAUUUUCAUAUAAAACAUUUUCUGGGGGAAAAACAGUAGUAUAUAGGUAAUACGAAAACAAAACUGCCCACUCACCUGGAGUUCGCUCAACAACUCCCUAGCACCACACAUCAAGGCGUCAUGAAGAUUAGCGCCUAGAACAAUAAUCAAACCCAACCUCAGAAAUCCUGCCGAUAGAAUACAUAACUUAUAUAAGACACGUCACUACGUAGUUCGAUCCGGAUGAUCUGCAAUUCAGAUUUCAAAUCCGAAACUUCCAGAGGUCCACAAUAUACCUCUAGGACAACAUCCUAAAAAUUUCGUUACCAUCCAACGGUCGGAUCUCCGUCAAUUUCCAAAACUAAGUGACGGUUAACAUUCUAUUUUAUGAACUUACAAUUCUAAUUCCGGAAUAUCCGUAAAUCGGAUUCCCAAUCCGUAAGUUCCUAUAAUCCUCAAAUAUUACGUAUUACAAUGUAUCAAAGUUUGAUGACGAUCCAACGGUCGGAUCGUCAAUUCACAUUUUCACCUAACCCCGAAUCGUAACCAACUUAGGUUCAAUUAUUCAAUUUACGUCCAUCAAUUAUCAAAACAGAACCUAGAACCUUAAUCACAAGCUAAUAAUGACAUUGGCGGCCAUUGGCCACACGCCGCCGCGCGGGCCGCCGCGGGUGGCGGUUGGCCGCCCCCGGCUCGCCGGAAAAUUCAACUAUUUCCAAAAAUUACCAAAAUUUGCAGAUUUGAAGAUCUCAAUGAGUAGAACAACUUUCAUACCUGAGACCAAGGCCAAUUUGGCCUGGAAGUGCUUCAAUUUCACCAAAACCGUGAAGAACCCUAGAAUUUGGGUGUUUCCAAUUCGACCUUCAAACUUGUUCCAACGCCUCAAUUACCUCUUGGGCUUUGUUCUAGGUCCUAAAGGAAUGCUAAAGGUGUUAGUAAUUGAAAGAAAACAUUUCAAAAUUUGGAGAAUUUAAACAAAAGGGUCGCGGCACCCGUAGGGGUGUUCUUCGCGAAAUCACAACGAAAUUCAAUGAUUCUUGGGGUGAAACGUAAAGAGGGAAGGCCUAGAUGAUGAUUAGGAGUGGUACCUUGACUCAAUUCGUUGGAAAUUUGGACGGAAAUGGCGAAAACCCGCCGAUUUGGAAGCUUGGGUCGCGCGGGUCAAGGGUGACCCAUUCCUCCUGUUCCCCCGCGCACCACUCUCCCUCCUUUCCCUCCUUUCCGUCCCCUGAUUGGUCAGCUUCUUCCUCUCCCUUCUUCUGGUUUGCGCUCUCACCUUCUUCUUCUCCGAUUGGGCAUUUCUGCCCAGUCUCUUCUUCUUUUCUGUUUUCUGUUUCUUCUUCUCAUACACAUACACACACCAAAAACCUUUCCCUCAUCCCAGCCAUCCAUUUCAUUCAUCAAUAAAUCUGGGCCGUCCAAUUUCAUAAAAGAAUUUCUAUAUUUUACUAAAAUUAUAAUUCCUUAAAAUUCCAAAUUUCAAACGUUAAUAACUUCUUCGAUAUAACUCCAAAUCACGAACCGUCUGCGCCCACACGUCCGUAACGACGAGUACUACGAGGAUAUGUCAAGAAAACAAAUCUUAGAUGGCACGACACAACGAUUAACCUCGAAUGAUGUGCGUGCCUCGAAGGGCAUUUUUGUAAAAUCCUUUAUUAAAACUUUAAAAAUUCUUUAAAAAUUAGGGACGGGCUGUCACAAUCUACCCACCUUACAGAAAUUUCGUCCUCGAAAUUUACACAAUCUUUACAAUCCAUCAAUAUCCAUGAAACAGCCCGAAACACAUCUCUCUCAUUCGAUUCUUUGACUUUCAAGUAGUUUCUUCCACUGAAAGAUUCCUCCAUAAAUUUUCACCAAACUCAGAGUCUUGAAUAUCAUCCGUCCCCAAUUCUAACAAUUUCGAAACACAAGACAUAGCUUUUCCACGGCCUUAUGGCGUUACUCUAGGGAACAAACUGAAGGAACCAACAUACCCAAGAAGUUUAACAGAUCCCAAUCUCCUUUUUCCAUAAAACAAAUAAAUAACUGUUGCGCUUAUCUGGAAAGGUUGAUGUUCUCAUACUGAAGUAACAUGCGCUGACGUCACAAGUUAAUCAAUUAUUAUUCAAACUCCAACCUAACUAUUUGGUAUACGAGGAAGCUUGUCCAUGAAAUCCAUAGUAAUAUUCUCCCAUUUCCGCCGUGGAAUGGGAAAUGACUACAUUAUUCCAAAAGACUUAUUUUCUUUCUGCUUUAACCUGAUGACUGAUGAUACGCCUACUAACAUACUUCGCCAUUCCUCUUUUCAUACCCGUCAAUAGUACAUGAACGAAUGGUAUGAUAAAUCUUAGUACUUUUGGGAUGCAUUGUAGAAGUGGAAUAAUGUACAUCGUCAAAAUUGCUUUAUUUAAUUCCACACCAUUAGGCAUAAACACUUUGUUCCCUUGCAUAAGCUUGCCAUCUGAUUCUCUAACUCUAAGGUCCUUCUUCUUUAUCCCGUUAUUCCUUGCUUUAAAUAAAUUCUUAAAUUUCUUCGUCAAACGCUUGAGUAUCGAGUACGAUCUACCAAAUGGGUCCAACUUAGAAAUUAGCAAGUAAGGCUUUAUUCUCGAUUUUUGAUACUCAACUUUACUCCAGUAGAUUUCAAAUCCACAAGAAGAUGAACAUAGCAAGCAUACCAAGCAUUAAUUCUCACUGGGGUCUUCCUACUAAAUGCAUCAGCCACAACAUUAGCUUGACCACCCUCGUCACACAAUCAUAAUCACUAAGCAAACUCAUUCCACCUUUGUUGCCUAAGAUUAAGAUACCUCUGAAUAAACAGAUAUUGGGUACUCUUUUGAUUUGUAACAAUCAUGCACUUUUCUUCCCAUUAAAGACAAUGUCUCCAAAUUCUCAAAGCAAAGAUGAUAGCUGCUAAUUCCAAAUUAUAAUUAGGGUAAUUCAUCUUAUGAGAUCCCAAUGGCCAUGAAGCAUAGGCAAUCAUCCUACCAUGUUGCAUCAACGCGCAUUCAAGAACAUUCAAAGAAGUAUUACUAUAGACCACGUAAUUACCACUAUCGUUUGGGAGUGCGAAAACAGAUGCAUGAGUGAGGGAAUACUUUACUUGCUGAAGCUCUACUCACAAUUUUUUUCAUCCCACUCAAACUUAACCUCUUUUUCUCAUCAAUCUCGCCAAGGGCGAAGCAAUAAUUAAAAAAUCUUGGACGAACUAUCGACAAUAUCCUGCUAAUCCGAGAAAACUCUGAACCUCAGUCACGGUUGGCAAUUGUUCCAAAUUCUCAAUCGUUGCUACUCUUUUAAGAAUCCACUUGAAUACCUUAAGUAGAUAUAAUUAAUUUAUCCAACAUUAGCAUUUGCUAAACUUAGCAUACAUCAACGUUCCUUCAAUCUUUGCAACACCAACUUUAAAUAUCUAGCAUGCACUGCUCUAAUCUUAUCAAUCUCGUCAAUGGCAACAACAACAAACCGAUCUAGAUAUCACUGGAAUACUUCCUUCAGUAAGCUCAUAAAAGUAGCAGGUGCAUUCGUCACUCCGUAUGGCAUCCCAACUUGAAAUGACCAUAACGAGUCCUGGAUUCAGUCUUAUGGACAUCCCCACUGUUAAUCUUCAACUAAUAUCAUUCAGACCUCAAGUCAGUCUCAGAAAGUACCCAGGCGCCUCAGAGCUGAUCAAAUAAUAAUUAAUACACAAAACAAUGGAUAACAGCUCUCAAUCGUUACCCGAUUCAAUUACCUAAUAUCAAUGCCUAGCCUUAAUGUCCACUUUCUUCCUCACAAAUAAACCGGAGCUUUUCCAAUGUGAUAUAAUAAGUUGAAUGGAACUUUUAACUAAACCUGAACCAAUUUCUAACAUAGGAUUUGUACCUAAAAACAAUUCAAUAAUGGAACCCACAUCUCUGCCUGGCGGCAAUCUAGGUAAGUCAUCUGGGAAUACACCAAGAAAAUGUCUAACCAUCUUUACAUCUUCCAUACUAUUAGGAUCAACAUCAUUUAGCACCAUAUGAACUCAAUAUCUUGGCAGCCUUUUGAUAACAAUCUUCUUUGCUCUCUCAACAGGAAUAAUGGCAUAACUCACUCCACUUUACUUACCCCCAAAAGUAACCUCUGGUCAUCUAGGUCAACAAAAAUUAACUGAUUCCCCAUAGCAAUCNUCUCUCUCAUUCGAUUCUUUGACUUUCAAGUAGUUUCUUCCACUGAAAGAUUCCUCCAUAAAUUUUCACCAAACUCAGAGUCUUGAAUAUCAUCCGUCCCCAAUUCUAACAAUUUCGAAACACAAGACAUAGCUUUCCACGGCCUUAUGGCGUUACUCUAGGGAACAAACUGAAGGAACCAACAUACCCAAGAAGUUUAACAGAUCCCAAUCUCCUUUUUCCAUAAAACAAAUAAAUAACUGUUGCGCUUAUCUGGAAAGGUUGAUGUUCUCAUACUGAAGUAACAUGCGCUGACGUCACAAGUCAAUCAAUUAUUAUUCAAACUCCAACCUAACUAUUUGGUAUACGAGGAAGCUUGUCCAUGAAAUCCAUAGUAAUAUUCUCCCAUUUCCGCCGUGGAAUGGGAAAUGACUACAUUAUUCCAAAAGACUUAUUUCUUUCUGCUUUAACCUGAUGACUGAUGAUACGCCUACUAACAUACUUCGCCAUUCCUCUUUUCAUACCCGUCAAUAGUACAUGAACGAAUGGUAUGAUAAAUCUUAGUACUUUUGGGAUGCAUUGUAGAAGUGGAAGUACAUCGUCAAAAUUGCUUUAUUUAAUUCCACACCAUUAGGCAUAAACACUUUGUUCCCUUGCAUAAGCUUGCCAUCUGAUUCUCUAACUCUAAGGUCCUUCUUUAUCCCGUUAUUCCUUGCUUUAAAUAAAUUCUUGAAUUUCUUCGUCAAACGCUUGAGUAUCGAGUACGAUCUACCAAAUGGGUCCAACUUAGAAAUUAGCAAGUAAGGCUUCUUCUCGAUUUUUGAUACUCAACUUUACUCCAGUAGAUUUCAAAUCCACAAGAAGAUGAACAUAGCAAGCAUACCAAGCAUUAAUUCUCACUGGGGUCUUCCUACUAAAUGCAUCAGCCACAACAUUAGCUUGACCACCCUCGUCACACAAUCAUAAUCACUAAGCAACUCAUUCCACCUUUGUUGCCUAAGAUUAAGAUACCUCUGAAUAAACAGAUAUUGGGUACUCUUUUGAUUUGUAACAAUCAUGCACUUUUCUUCCCAUAAAGACAAUGUCUCCAAAUUCUCAAAGCAAAGAUGAUAGCUGCUAAUUCCAAAUUAUAAUUAGGGUAAUUCAUCUUAUGAGAUCCCAAUGGCCAUGAAGCAUAGGCAAUCAUCCUACCAUGUUGCAUCAACGCGCAUUCAAGAACAUUCAAAGAAGUAUUACUAUAGACCACGUAAUUACCACUAUCGUUUGGGAGUGCGAAAACAGAUGCAUGAGUGAGGGAAUACUUUACUUGCUGAAGCUCUACUCACAAUUUUUCAUCCCACUCAAACUUAACCUCUUUUCUCAUCAAUCUCGCCAAGGGCGAAGCAAUAAUUAAAAUCUUGGACGAACUAUCGACAAUAUCCUGCUAAUCCGAGAAAACUCUGAACCUCAGUCACGGUUCGCAAUUGUUCCAAAUUCUCAAUCGUUGCUACUCUUUUAAGAAUCCACUUGAAUACCUUAAGUAGAUAUAAUUAAUUUAUCCAACAUUAGCAUUUGCUAAACUUAGCAUACAUCAACGUUCCUUCAAUCUUUGCAACACCAACUUUAAAUAUCUAGCAUGCACUGCUCUAAUCUUAUCAAUCUCGUCAAUGGCAACAACAACAAACCGAUCUAGAUAUCACUGGAAUACUUCCUUCAGUAAGCUCAUAAAAGUAGCAGGUGCAUUCGUCACUCCGUAUGGCAUCCCAACUUGAAAUGACCAUAACGAGUCCUGGAUUCAGUCUUAUGGACAUCCCCACUGUUAAUCUUCAACUAAUAUCAUUCAGACCUCAAGUCAAUCUCAGAAAGUACCCAGGCGCCUCAGAGCUGAUCAAAUAAUCAUUAAUACACAACAAUGGAUAACAGCUCUCAAUCGUUACCCGAUUCAAUUACCUAAUAUCAAUGCCUAGCCUUAAUGUCCACUUUCUUCCUCACAAAUAAACCGGAGCUUUUCCAAUGUGAUAUAAUAAGUUGAAUGGAACUUUUAACUCAACCUGAACCAAUUUCUAACAUAGGAUUUGUACCUAAAAACAAUUCAAUAAUGGAACCCACAUCUCUGCCUGGCGGCAAUCUAGGUAAGUCAUCUGGAAAUACACCAAGAAAAUGUCUAACCAUCUUUACAUCUUCCAUACUAUUAGGAUCAACAUCAUUUAGCACCAUAUGAACUCAAUAUCUUGGCAGCCUUUUGAUAACAAUCUUCUUUGCUCUCUCAACAGGAAUAAUGGCAUAACUCACUCCACUUUACUUACCCCCAAAAGUAACCUCUGGUCAUCCAGGUCAACAAAAAUUAACUGAUUCCCCAUAGCAAUCUAGCUUGACACAAUUAUACUGCACCCACUGGUGCCAAAAAAAUCACCUCAAAAUCCAUAAUAUCCAACGGAAUAAAAUUCACUGACAUGACAUUUUUCACCAUCACUGGACACCCUUAAUAAACCAAAUCAACAUAAAGUGCCUUACUUGUUUACUUACUUAACGAAUCCAACAAAUAAGUUAUAAAAUUUACGGUCUGCAGCCCGCAAUACAAAUAACUCACUGUUGUCUCGAUAACUAAGUAACAAUUCCUGAGGGGUGUAAUAUUAUCAUCUUGUUCUUCCUUAGAAAUACAUAAAUACGCCUCGAUCGUGCUCCAACAUUACUUUCUUUGGCAACAUCGACCAUAAUAAGAAAUAUAUCAGCCGGAGUCAGCUAGAAUGACCUGUACGACUGAGUCUACAACUCGACCAUCCAUGCUAGCACAUAAGUCGGAGUCACAUAUAGUGACCUGUACGACUUACUCGUCAAUAUUUCCAAGUGAUAUGUUAAGGAAGACUAUUGGGUAACAACUGAUUCCAGGGACAAUUCAUACCUCUAUGUCCCAUCCGUCCACAUGAACACAUUCACUGAUUCCCACACUCUCCAAAGUGUCUAAUAUUAUACCUAUGGCACAAAGGUACAUUUCCCUUACUCGAGUCACCUUGUCUUUAAGAUCUGGGAUCACCCGUAAAUCUAUCACUUCGCCUCGGACCAGUGGCACUAAAACCUCAGUUGGAAGAAUUAGUUCUAACUUCACUUCUUUUGAAGCUCUGAGUCUUUCGACGUCUUUGAUAUGACGGAUCUUUAACUUUCUCACCUUUCCUCUAAUUACCAUUCUUUUCUUAUUCUUCUUUACUCUCGCUGAUCAUAUUCUCAAAGUCCUCAAAGCCCAACAACAUCUCGUAAACUCCUGGUAAAAAGUACAAUGGAUUGUGGUCGCCAAAGAACGUCACUUCUUCUUAUUAUCCCGCCAAAAACGACAUAACACCUCGACCGGAUUAGUAACAACAUCCGAAUGGAAACAAGGCAAGUCUGUAUUCAAAUUUAACUUAUAAUCAGUCUCAAAGGUUCCUUUAGAUAAUAGACUGAAUCAUAGUGACAAUAAUUUCCCCCCAAACUACUAUAUCAGGGAAUUUAGGCUCAUCCGAACUACGUGGCUCGCUAUGAGGCGGUAUAGUUCUGACAGAAGACACUAGGAAAUUCUCAAGAUGUCCAGAAUUGCAACCUAGGCUCUGAUACCAACUGACACACCCCGUCCCGAAGGAGGGCGUGCUGGCCGUCACGUGAGAGUGACGUAACCAUUUACAUAGUUCAGAAGCUUUAAAAAAAAAUUUCCAAUUACUAAGAUGACACACCCGAGGGUGAGUCCUACUUUUGUGAAUUAUGUCAGAACACCGUUGGAUUCCUCGUGGCCACCAAAGCUCUGCUAACUUGAACCUGGAGGGGCGCAAAACAAAAUUGAGUGGGUCAGUAAAACAAAGUUUUUCGAAAACUUUUCAUUUAAAAUAUUUCUAACCCCUCACCGUAAAACCUGUAUACUUUCCCAGAAAAUAGCAUAUAUAUAAACAUAUAUAUAAGCAAAAAUCUCAAAUCUCAAACCUUUAACACUUUUCAGAAAAAAUAUAUAUAUAUAACCAUAUGAAAUCUCAAAACUUGAAUCCCAAAUCUUUAACAUUUUUCAAGAAAAACAUGCCAUGCCAUAAAUCAAAAUAUAAAUCAGGUGAAAUAAGGAAUCAAUCGGAGACCCUGCAGUUGGUCCUAUACGAUUAAUUCAAUAGCUCAAUAUCUCACUAAGCCGGAGUCACCACAGUGACCUAUACGGCCCUACUCUGCACAUCACUCGGAACUACGUAAGGUAGUCUGUACGAUGAAAGGUGUAAAAAUACGCUCUAGUGCUUCUCUCAUCAAUCAUCAGCGCGCAUAACUAAGAUCACCCACUAGUCGGAAUCACGCCUAGUGAUCUAUACGACUAGCAUGUCGGAACCCUCACAUGGUCUGUACGACAUCCACCUACUUGGAUCCAAGGCGAGCGUGCGGUGUGGUGAAUAAAAUAAGCACUAACACCUA